AGAGCUGCCCUUCCACAAACCCAAGGCGGGCUCAUUCGUCCCAUGCAAGGUGCUGUGGGGCAAUGGCCCUGCUCUGUGUGUCCAGUGCCGUCCCAGCAACGGGGACCCAGAGGAGGGAUGUGACUGCCUGACAGGCAGCCCCCAGGCUCUGCCGCGGCCUGCAGAGUGGAGUGCAAAGCCCAGCCUAGCCCUAACACGCUCCUGAUCCUGCCCCACGCAUUGCCCCCCUGGGUCAGACGGAUGGCCUUGCAGCCCUAGAGCAUUACUGGCGCUCGCCCUGCCUGGAGAGAGAGAUCAGAGCCACAGGCGUGUGACGGACGAGGGACGAGCACGUGGGACCCGGUUCUGGGAGGGACCCUCAGUGAACAACGUACGGAACACACGCAUGCAGGAUGGAGCAGACCAAAUGCUUCAAAGAUAAGGGCCCUGACACGCAGGGACUCUGGAAGGUGUUCCCACAGCACUGCCAACUGGAAGGACGUUGGAACAUCACUUCCUUGUUCUACCCAAGUGCGCAUGGAUGAGUCGCCCCGAAACCCACGUCCGUGCUCCGUGUUCAGGCUGGUCCUGGGCACCCCUGCUCCCAUGCCCAGCCCCGCUCAGGCUGAAGCCAAGCAGAAACUGAGAGAACAGGCCACGAGACCAGAGCCUGAAGGGCCACCCUCAUCGCUGACUGAUGUCCCGGUAUGAUCAGCCUCUGCUCACCUCACAGUGCCGUUGGGGCGGAUGUAAUGACCUGUGUGGGGUCCCAUGGGAAUACGAGCUUGCUGUCCAAGCCAGCCGUCUAGCUGCCCCCAACCCGAGAGCACAAAGGAAGAACAAUAAAUGCCCACGAGGGCGCCAACCUCUA